rnacentral:rRNA from 1 species
CAGACCUCUAAUCGGAAAAGACUACCCGCUGAGUUUAAGCAUAUCACUAAGCGGAGGAGAAGAAACUAACCAGGAUUUC